AUUCCGGUUGAUCCUGCCGGAGGCCAUUGCUAUUGGAGUCCGAUUUAGCCAUGCUAGUCGUACGAGUUCAUACUCGUGGCGAAUAGCUCAGUAACACGUGGCCGAUCUCCCCCACAGCGACGAAUACCCUCGGGAAACUGAGGCUAAUUCGUCAUACCCCUCUCACGCUUGAAUGCCGAGAGGUCAAAACGCUCUUCGAGCGCUCUGGGAUGAGGCUGCGGCCGAUUAGGUAGACGGUGGGGUAACGGCCCACCGUGCCCAUAAUCGGUACGGGUCGUGAAAGCGAGAACCCGGAGACGGAAUCUGAGACAAGAUUCCGGGCCCUACGGGGCGCAGCAGGCGCGAAACCUUUACACUGCACGCCAGUGCGAUAAGGGGACUCCAAGUGCGAGGGCAUAUCGUCCUCGCUAUCCUGUACUGUAGGGUAGUACAGUAUCAAGAGCUGGGCAAGACCGGUGCCAGCCGCCGCGGUAAUACCGGCAGCUCAAGUGAUGGCCACUCUUAUUGGGCCUAAAGCGUCCGUAGCUGGC
rnacentral:rRNA from 1 species